rnacentral:lncRNA from 1 species
AGCCGUUCCCUUAUCCAGGGGAUCUUCCCAACCCAGGGAUCAAACCCAGGUCUCCCACACUGCAGGCGAUUCUUUAACAGCCUGAGCUAUCAGGGAAGUCCAAAAGUCUUCAAAGGCUAAAAUAAAUUUUCCCUUAAAAAAUUAAAUUCAGAGUGUCAGUGAUAUUGCUCAUUGGGCUUGUCAUUCCAGAGACUCUGAGACAUGUCCUACAUGUUCUAGAAUUUGUCUGACAGACCAGGAAAUCCUUCAUGCAUUAUUUAAUACUCUUGUGCCCUUUAAGUUACAUUCGGUAUUGCUGGUUCUUCUGCAGCUGCCUGUAAUAAGAUAGGAAUGUAGGGUAAGAGUCAUUAAAGAUAAAUCUGAUACCAAUCCAUCAAGUCACGCCCUGUCCUCAUGUCUCCAGGAACUGAAACAUAAAUGUGCCUUAACCUUCCCUUCUAGUUUUCUCCUUUGGAAAGUUCAUCUACCUAGCUAGAGGAGGGGAGAAAAUUCUAACCUCAGCUCGUAUUAUAUUAGCAUUUAAAUGGGAGAUUGGGUCCUCAGCCAAUUUGUGGGGAGUGAAAAAUGAGUGACUUCAAGCGGCCACUUGUUGCUUCCCUUUGCUCUCUGCCCUGCCUGGUUCAAGGGUUGCCACGUGAUCACACUGGCUAAGAGCAGCAGUGGGGCGUUGACAAAGGAAGAGAAUCCCGGAUGUCAGGUGCAACCAUGAUGAAUGUAAUGAUCUAUCCUUACCAGGAAUUUUCUUCUAAACAUCAUUCUUCAGGCUUCAGGAUCCCACAUGGGUUUGAUUAUGGUAAAAUAAGUAGUGGAGCGACAGACUUCCAGGUCUAUGGCACUAUGGAUUUGGUGACAGAAGUCCGAGAGACUCGGGUUCGAUCCCUGGGUCAGGAAGAUCCCCUGGAAGAUGCCAUGGCAACCCACUUCAGUAUUCUUGCCUGGAGAAUUCCAUGGACAGAAGAGCCUGGAGGUCUAAGAUCCACAGAGUCGCAGAGAGUCGGACAUGACUGAAGUGACUUAGCAUACAAGCAUGCAUGCUUGUGGUGGGCAGUGGCCUCCCUCUCCGCCUGUCCUUCGUUCCUCCAUGUGGCUCCACUGCACACUACAGGAAAUCUGCAGCUUCCCUGGCUUCCCCCAACCCCUACCCCCCGCCACCUGGCAUAAAACUGUCUGGCUUUGGGGCAGAAUCCAAAGCAAUGGAAAGGAUCCACUUAAAAGAAGCACAGAAACAUAUAGUUCUCUCUCUCUUUUUAUUACAUAGGGAAUUACAACAAUGUGCUUCAAUGGGCAUUUCUAUUAUUUGAUUUGAAUACUAAACUUCAUUAGCUUUUAGCCCAACUUGUGAUUCCAGUAACUGACGUUUGUCAAAAAUGAGGUUUGGACGUGUCUUUUUGGCUUGGGUAAAUUAAAAGAAGAAUUUUUUGAACUGGGUUGAGGCGAGCUCCGCACACCAAGGGCACAAAUAGACCCUCCAUCAGCCUCUGCGGCAGGGACGGCCGGACAGGAGGCCCUGCUCGCUGGUGCACGUGAGCAUCCCC